GGUCUUUAGUUUUUUAUUUAAGAUCAGGCCUGCCCAUUGAUUUGAAAUAUUAAAAGGCUGCGGUAUUUUAACUGUACGAAGGUAGCAUAAUCAUUUGUCUUUUAAUUGGAGGCUAGAAUGAAUGGUUUAAUGAGAAAUAUUCUUUCUUUUUUUAAUUUAUUUUAAUUUAAUUUUUUAGUUAAAAAGCUAAAAUUUUUUUAUAGGACGAGAAGACCCUAUAGAAGUUUACUUUAUUAAUAAUUUUAUAUUUUUUGUUAUUAAAAUAUUUUUUUAAAUUAUAAAGUUUUGUUGGGGUGACAUUAAAAUUUUUUUAACUUUUAAUUUUUCUUUUCAUUAAUUUAUGUUUUUUUUGAUCCAGUAUUUAUUGAUUAAAAGUUUAACUUACCUUAGGGAUAACAGCGUAAUUUUUUCGGAGAGUUCAUAUCGAUGAAUAAGUUUGCGA
rnacentral:rRNA from 1 species